GACGAACGCUGGCGGCGUGCCUAACACAUGCAAGUCGAACGAAGCAUAGCAAUAUGCUUAGUGGCGGACGGGUGAGUAACGCGUGAACAAUCUGCCCUGUACAAAGGAAUAGCCUCGGGAAACCGGGAUUAAAACCGUAUGACACUUUAGUAUCGCAUGAUAAGAAAGUCAAAUCGAUUAGAGGUAUGGGAUGAGUUCGCGUCUGAUUAGCUGGUUGGCGGGGUAACGGCCCACCAAGGCGACGAUCAGUAGCCGGCCUGAGAGGGUGAACGGUCACACUGGAACUGAGACACGGUCCAGACUCCUACGGGAGGCAGCAGUGGGGAAUAUUGCACAAUGGAGGGAACUCUGAUGCAGCGACGCCGCGUGAGUGAAGAAGGUCUUCGGAUCGUAAAACUCUGUCCUUGGUGAAGAAAAGGACGGUAGCCAAGGAGGAAGCCCCGGCUAACUACGUG
rnacentral:rRNA from 1 species